rnacentral:rRNA from 1 species
UACGUAGGUGGCAAGCGUUGUCCGGAUUUACUGGGCGUAAAGAGCGCGCAGGCGGUCGUACAAGUCGCGUGUGAAAGCCCCCGGCUCAACUGGGGAGGGUCACGCGAUACUGUUCGACUCGAAGGCAGGAGAGGGAAGCAGAAUUCCCGGUGUAGUGGUGAAAUGCGUAGAUAUCGGGAGGAACACCAAUGGCGAAGGCAGCACUCUGGGACGGUACUGACGCUGAGACGCGAAAGCGUGGGGAGCAAACAGG